rnacentral:rRNA from 1 species
GGUUAAGCGACUAAGCGUACACGGUGGAUGCCCUGGCAGUCAGAGGCGAUGAAGGACGUGCUAAUCUGCGAAAAGCGUCGGUAAGGUGAUAUGAACCGUUAUAACCGGCGAUGUCCGAAUGGGGAAACCCAGUGCAAUUCGUUGCACUAUCGUUAACUGAAUACAUAGGUUAACGAGGCGAACCGGGGGAACUGAAACAUCUAAGUACCCCGAGGAAAAGAAAUCAACCGAGAUUCCCCCAGUAGCGGCGAGCGAACGGGGAGCAGCCCAGAGUCUGAAUCAGCUUGUGUGUUAGUGGAACGGUCUGGAAAGUCCGACGGUACAGGGUGAUAGUCCCGUACACCAAAAUGCACAGGUUGUGAACUCGAAGAGUAGGGCGGGACACGUGGUAUCCUGUCUGAAUAUGGGGGGACCAUCCUCCAAGGCUAAAUACUCCUGACUGACCGAUAGUGAACCAGUACCGUGAGGGAAAGGCGAAAAGAACCCCGGCGAGGGGAGUGAAAAAGAACCUGAAACCGUGUACGUACAAGCAGUGGGAGCACCUUCGGGUGUGACUGCGUACCUUUUGUAUAAUGGGUCAGCGACUUAUAUUCUGUAGCAAGGUUAACCGUAUAGGGGAGCCGCAGGGAAACCGAGUCUUAACUGGGCGUUAAGUUGCAGGGUAUAGACCCGAAACCCGGUGAUCUAGCCAUGGGCAGGUUGAAGGUUGGGUAACACUAACUGGAGGACCGAACCGACUAAUGUUGAAAAAUUAGCGGAUGACUUGUGGCUGGGGGUGAAAGGCCAAUCAAACCGGGAGAUAGCUGGUUCUCCCCGAAAGCUAUUUAGGUAGCGCCUCGUGAAUUCAUCUUCGGGGGUAGAGCACUGUUUCGGCUAGGGGGUCAUCCCGACUUACCAACCCGAUGCAAACUACGAAUACCGAAGAAUGUUAUCACGGGAGACACACGGCGGGUGCUAACGUCCGUCGUGAAGAGGGAAACAACCCAGACCGCCAGCUAAGGUCCCAAAGUCAUGGUUAAGUGGGAAACGAUGUGGGAAGGCACAGACAGCCAGGAUGUUGGCUUAGAAGCAGCCAUCAUUUAAAGAAAGCGUAAUAGCUCACUGGUCGAGUCGGCCUGCGCGGAAGAUGUAACGGGGCUAAACCAUGCACCGAAGCUGCGGCAGCGACACUAUGUGUUGUUGGGUAGGGGAGCGUUCUGUAAGCCUGCGAAGGUGACCUGUGAGGGUUGCUGGAGGUAUCAGAAGUGCGAAUGCUGACAUAAGUAACGAUAAAGCGGGUGAAAAGCCCGCUCGCCGGAAGACCAAGGGUUCCUGUCCAACGUUAAUCGGGGCAGGGUGAGUCGACCCCUAAGGCGAGGCCGAAAGGCGUAGUCGAUGGGAAACAGGUUAAUAUUCCUGUACUUGGUGUUACUGCGAAGGGGGGACGGAGAAGGCUAUGUUAGCCGGGCGACGGUUGUCCCGGUUUAAGCAUGUAGGCUGGUUGUCCAGGCAAAUCCGGAUAAUCAAGGCUGAGGUGUGAUGACGAGGCACUACGGUGCUGAAGUAACAAAUGCCCUGCUUCCAGGAAAAGCCUCUAAGCAUCAGGUAACAUUAAAUCGUACCCCAAACCGACACAGGUGGUCAGGUAGAGAAUACCAAGGCGCUUGAGAGAACUCGGGUGAAGGAACUAGGCAAAAUGGUGCCGUAACUUCGGGAGAAGGCACGCUGGUGUGUAGGUGAAGUCCCUGCGGAUGGAGCUGAGACCAGUCGAAGAUACCAGCUGGCUGCAACUGUUUAUUAAAAACACAGCACUGUGCAAACACGAAAGUGGACGUAUACGGUGUGACGCCUGCCCGGUGCCGGAAGGUUAAUUGAUGGGGUUAUCCGUAAGGAGAAGCUCUUGAUCGAAGCCCCGGUAAACGGCGGCCGUAACUAUAACGGUCCUAAGGUAGCGAAAUUCCUUGUCGGGUAAGUUCCGACCUGCACGAAUGGCGUAAUGAUGGCCAGGCUGUCUCCACCCGAGACUCAGUGAAAUUGAACUCGCUGUGAAGAUGCAGUGUACCCGCGGCAAGACGGAAAGACCCCGUGAACCUUUACUAUAGCUUGACACUGAACAUUGAGCCUUGAUGUGUAGGAUAGGUGGGAGGCUUUGAAGCGUGGACGCCAGUCUGCGUGGAGCCAACCUUGAAAUACCACCCUUUAAUGUUUGAUGUUCUAACGUUGGCCCCUGACCGGGGUUGCGGACAGUGUCUGGUGGGUAGUUUGACUGGGGCGGUCUCCUCCCAAAGCGUAACGGAGGAGCACGAAGGUUAGCUAAUCCUGGUCGGACAUCAGGAGGUUAGUGCAAUGGCAUAAGCUAGCUUGACUGCGAGCGUGACGGCGCGAGCAGGUGCGAAAGCAGGUCAUAGUGAUCCGGUGGUUCUGAAUGGAAGGGCCAUCGCUCAACGGAUAAAAGGUACUCCGGGGAUAACAGGCUGAUACCGCCCAAGAGUUCAUAUCGACGGCGGUGUUUGGCACCUCGAUGUCGGCUCAUCACAUCCUGGGGCUGAAGUAGGUCCCAAGGGUAUGGCUGUUCGCCAUUUAAAGUGGUACGCGAGCUGGGUUUAGAACGUCGUGAGACAGUUCGGUCCCUAUCUGCCGUGGGCGCUGGAGAAUUGAGGGGGGCUGCUCCUAGUACGAGAGGACCGGAGUGGACGCAUCACUGGUGUUCGGGUUGUCAUGCCAAUGGCACUGCCCGGUAGCUAAAUGCGGAAGAGAUAAGUGCUGAAAGCAUCUAAGCACGAAACUUGCCCCGAGAUGAGUUCUCCCUGAGACUUUAAGUCUCCUGAAGGAACGUUGAAGACGACGACGUUGAUAGGCCGGGUGUGUAAGCGCAGCGAUGCGUUGAGCUAACCGGUACUAAUGAACCGUGAGGCUUAACCUU